GCUUGACUUGGAUUAAAAUAGUGUUAUCAUGGUGGUAUGAGUUUAAAGGAACGCAACUAUGUCCAAGAGUUGUUUACCUCCAACAAGAUCAGAGUGCUAUGAUUGGUACUUCACAUUUAUUCAAGGGUUUGUUUACCUUUUCCUGAUUUACCUUCAAGGCUUCACAAGCAAGCAAAUGGUGAAUCCAUGAAAAACUUAUGUGAAGCUUUCAAUUGUUCUUAUGGGUUCUCAUGGCCUAACAAAGGGGUCUCUGGCUUUCCUUAACUACCCUGCACAAAUCAUGUUCAAAUCCACAAAGGUAAAAACCAUAAAAGAGGAAUUGCAUAUAUGAGCUUGGCUGUAUAGUGCUUAAUCUCCAGAGAUCCAGAGGAAGCUGCUUGAACUGCAGGCAGAGCUGGAAGGCAAGAAGUUGAAGAGGAAGGCGAUGGAGGAUGAGGCAGCAGCAGAGAAGAAAAAGAUGAAGGCGAUGGAGAGUGCUCUAAUUUAUCUGUUUCAACGGCAAGGUGAGGAGCUGCCACUAGACAUCGCUGCAGGGAUGAGUUUCGUGGAAUAAUAUAGUGAAAAAUAGAAUAUUAGGAUUGGAGAUAUUUUGGAUUGAAGCAAACAUUUUAUUGAAUUAGACUGAGCAACUCUUUGAAAGAGAUUUAUUUUCUUCGUAUUUUUAUGAA